rnacentral:tRNA from 1 species
GGCGACGUAGCCAAGCGGUAAGGCAAUUGUCUGCAAAACAAUUAUUCAGCGGUUCGAAUCCGCUCGUCGCCU